rnacentral:rRNA from 1 species
AGAUUGAACGCUGGCGGCAUGCCUUACACAUGCAAGUCGAACGGCAGCACGGGAGCAAUCCUGGUGGCGAGUGGCGAACGGGUGAGUAAUAUAUCGGAACGUGCCCAGUCGUGGGGGAUAACGCAGUGAAAGCUGUGCUAAUACCGCAUACGAUCUAUGGAUGAAAGCGGGGGACUCGCAAGAGCCUCGCGCGAUUGGAGCGGCCGAUAUCAGAUUAGCUAGUUGGUGGGGUAAAAGCCCACCAAGGCGACGAUCUGUAGCUGGUCUGAGAGGACGACCAGCCACACUGGAACUGAGACACGGUCCAGACUCCUACGGGAGGCAGCAGUGGGGAAUUUUGGACAAUGGGCGCAAGCCUGAUCCAGCAAUGCCGCGUGCAGGAUGAAGGCCUUCGGUUGUAAACUGCUUUUGACGGUAACGAAAGGUCCUUUCUAAUACUAAGGGCCAUGACGGUACCGUAAGAAUAAGCACCGCUAACUACGUGACC